GAUGAACGCUGGCGGCGUGCCUAAUACAUGCAAGUCGAGCGAACGGACGAGAAGCUUGCUUCUCUGAUGUUAGCGGCGGACGGGUGAGUAACACGUGGAUAACCUACCUAUAAGACUGGGAUAACUUCGGGAAACCGGAGCUAAUACCGGAUAAUAUUUUGAACCGCAUGGUUCAAAAGUGAAAGACGGUCUUGCUGUCACUUAUAGAUGGAUCCGCGCUGCAUUAGCUAGUUGGUAAGGUAACGGCUUACCAAGGCAACGAUGCAUAGCCGACCUGAGAGGGUGAUCGGCCACACUGGAACUGAGACACGGUCCAGGCUCCUACGGGAGGCAGCAGUAGGGAAUCUUCCGCAAUGGGCGAAAGCCUGACGGAGCAACGCCGCGUGAGUGAUGAAGGUCUUCGGAUCGUAAAACUCUGUUAUUAGGGAAGAACAUAUGUGUAAGUAACUGUGCACAUCUUGACGGUACCUAAUCAGAAAGCCACGGCUAGCUACGUG
rnacentral:rRNA from 1 species